UGAUUAAUAAUGAAAAAGACUGAACCGUGGGGAUCGUUGGUCAUUUUUAUUUCCUCUUCGUGUUUCAAACCCUACAAAUAUAUCAGUCGAAAACGGAACAAGACUCUGUUUUUCCCUCAAUAAUUGCUACGCAGCAAAAGCUCGUAGCGUUGGCCGUUCAAAGCAGGGCCCAAAUUUAGAGACUCGUAGAGGGUUGGAUUUACACGGAAAUGUUUUUGUUUUGGAG
rnacentral:lncRNA from 1 species